UCCGACAAAGACCUUCGCCCCCCUGUUUUUGCACAAAUAUUUUAUGUUUUCAAGACAAAAUCAUGCCGUUUUUCUCCGCUUGUUGAUGCAAAAAUUCGCUGUAAUGACUUUAAAGGGAAGAAUAUUUCUUCUGAAAGGUAAGAUUUGUGAAAAUUUUAAGUUUUUACCUUUUAUUCGACUAAUUCUAGAUUGGCAAAGUCAGGGGCCGAUAUGCGUAUAAAAUCGAGGUAUAAAUAUAUACUAUUUGUCAAACACUUUAUAUUUUAUAUUUACACCAAUAUUCUGGAGCAGACAUAAAAAAACGUUGUACAUGGUUAUUUAUACAUUGUGUUCAUACACUUUGUUUCUAGUUUCAGGCACUGGCUUUUGUUUUUAGUGGCAGUUUAUUAGUUUAAACAGCAGCAGAGCAGCUCAUGCAAUCUGUAGUUUGCUGUUGUUCUAUUUUUAUAAAGAGCAGUUAGCACUAGAUUAAUAUAUACAGUAUAUUAAAACAAGCUGUAUUGUAUCCUUCACAAAUAUUAUAAACUGCUAGUCUUGCUAGGUUUUGUAUCAGCAUUUACCAACUGGCGGCUGGCUGUGUAGUUACUAGUUAGGCUUUUUUUGUGGGGUUGUGCACUACAUUUCAGUCAGCAUCUAGCUAUCAUUGACUUGUGCAUACCCAAAUUUGCAUGAUUUACACUUAUAUCAUUCUUGCAUUGGCAUUACCUUGAGUACUAGUAUAGGUCAACCUCUAUGCCUCAUAAAAAUCUCCAAACAAAGAACCUCCUUCACUCAGAAAAUACCUCUGUCAUGGGAGUCUUGAUUUAUGUUUAGACAAGAAAGCCAUAUUUAUUUAGGUCCCCUAGAGGUUAACCCAUUGAGUCGCAUUGCGCCCUACCUUAUUAUUUUACUCUGUCUGAUGCCAGACGAUUUUACUCGUCAAGUAGAGAGUGCUGGUGCUUAAUGGGUUAAUAACUAGCAGUGGCGGCCGCCCCCCCCCCACCUUUGUGGAAAAUGACAAAUUUUCAGAAAGGGCCCCCCCCGGAAAAAGUGAAUUUCCACCACUGAUAACUAGCCUAGUUAACAUUGCACCCUGAUGCACCCUACUUUAUCACUUAAGUUUACUCUGUAUAAUGCCAGAUUAUUGUACUCUGUCUAACACCAGAUAAUUUUACUUAUCAAUCGGGGAGAGCGCUGGCACUUAAUGGGUUAAUUCAGAUUUAUACAAGAUUAGUGGUGCACCAGAGCUAACAGUUCCAAUCCAGCCAGAGCUGUAACUUGCAAAGUAGGGGUGGUGGUCUGAGCUAACUGGCUAGAACCUAUAGUAUGCACCCAUUGUAAUUAAUUUUGAAAUGUACAUGAAACAGUUUCACACACCGUAGAAUAAAACAAUCAUAAACAAAGUAACUUUAUUUCUCAUUUCUCUUACAGGCAUCAAAGUGAUUACAAGAAUUGAAGCAAAAAUGUUCUUGCUGUAACAGCUGUAUUCUAUCAUGAUAGUUAACAUUGAUGUGUAUGAUCUUAUUUGGGUGUAACAAUGUGUAGUAAUACAGUAUCUGUAGUAGUAAAUAAUAUGUUAUUGCUACCAAAAGAAAAUUGAAAAGAGAUCAAAAUGCAAAGUGAUGUCACAGCUCAUGGGACUACAAAGUGAUCAUUAUACCAGAAUAACUAAUUGAUUAAUAUAAUUAUACAGUUAGUUCAAAAUGAUUGGGUCAUUCAAGAAAAUAUCCACACCUCUUAUGGAAGAGAUGGGAGGUUCAGCUUCCUCCCACCUUUAGACAUCCUAAUACUUUUACUACUGACAGCAGUUGAGUUCUGCUCACUUCAGACAGCACAAUUUCUGUGGAGUUGGUGUUUAUCUUUUCUGGAAUGACUCAUUGGUGAUUGGUAG
rnacentral:lncRNA from 1 species